rnacentral:tRNA from 1 species
UGGCGGAAUUGGUAGACGCACCAGAUUUAGGUUCUGGCGCCGCAAGGUGUGAGAGUUCAAGUCUCUCCUUCCGCACCA